GCCUUCGUGGUGUAAUGGUCAGCACACUGAGCCGGUAUUUCAGAGGUCCGCGGUUCGAUUCCCGGCGAGGGCC
rnacentral:tRNA from 1 species